rnacentral:rRNA from 1 species
GAGUUUGAUCGUGGCUCAGAUUGAACGCUGGCGGCAUGCCUUACACAUGCAAGUCGAACGGCAGCACGGGAGCUUGCUCCUGGUGGCGAGUGGCGAACGGGUGAGUAAUGCAUCGGAACGUAUCCUGGAGUGGGGAUAACGUAGCGAAAGUUACGCUAAUACCGCAUAUUCUGUGAGCAGGAAAGCGGGGGACCUUCGGGCCUCGCGCUCUUGGAGCGGCCGAUGUCGGAUUAGCUAGUUGGUGAGGUAAAGGGCUCACCAAGGCGACGAUCCGUAGCAGGUCUGAGAGGAUGAUCUGGCCACACUGGAACUGAGACACGGUCCAGACUCCUACGGGAGCAGCAGUGGGGAAUUUUGGACAAUGGGGGCAACCCUGAUCCAGCCAUGCCGCGUGAGUGAAGAAGGCCUGGUGUAA